rnacentral:tRNA from 1 species
GAGUCUGUAGCUCAGCUGGAUAGAGCAACGGCCUUCUAAGCCGUAGGUCGCGGGUUCGAAUCCCUCCAGGCUCG